CCCUUAGAUGUUCUGGGCCGCACGCGCGCUACACUGAUGGAUUCAGCGAGCUUUUUCCUUGACCGAAAGGCCUGGGUAAACUCCGAAACUUCAUCGUGAUGGGGAUAGACUAUUGUAAUUAUUAGUCUUCAACGAGGAAUUCCUAGUAAGCGCGAGUCAUCAGCUCGCGUUGAUUACGUCCCUGCCCUUUGUACACACCGCCCGUCGCUACUACCGAUUGAAUGGCUUAGUGAGGCUUCCGGAUUGCUGGCUUAGGCUCCGCAAGGGGCUUUCGCUGCGAAAAGUUAGUCAAACUUGGUCAUUUAGAGGAAGUAAAAGUCGUANCA
rnacentral:rRNA from 1 species